rnacentral:tRNA from 1 species
GGGUCUGUGGCGCAGCCAGGUAGCGCACCGGCCUUUUAAGCCGGUUGUCGUGGGUCCGAAUCCCACUAGACCCGCAA